rnacentral:rRNA from 1 species
UACAGAGGGGGCAAGCGUUGUUCGGAAUUACUGGGCGUAAAGGGCGCGUAGGCGGCCUGUUAAGUCGAACGUGAAAUCCCCAGGCUCAACCUGGGAACUGCGUCUGAUACUGGAUGGCUUGAAUCCGGGAGAGGGAUGUAGAAUUCCAGGUGUAGCGGUGAAAUGCGUAGAUAUCUGGAGGAAUACCGGUGGCGAAGGCGGCAUCCUGGACCAUUACUGACGCUGAGGCGCGAAAGCUAGGGGAGCAAACGGG